AUUGAACGCUGGCGGCAGGCCUAACACAUGCAAGUCGAGCGAGCGGCGGACGGGUGAGUAAUGUCUGGGGAUCUGCCCGAUGGAGGGGGAUAACUACUGGAAACGGUAGCUAAUACCGCAUACUAUCAGAUGAGCCCAUAUGGGAUUAGCUAGUAGGUGGGGUAAAGGCUCACCUAGGCGACGAUCCCUAGCUGGUCUGAGAGGAUGAUCAGCCACACUGGAACUGAGACACGGUCCAGACUCCUACGGGAGGCAGCAGUGGGGAAUAUUGCACAAUGGGCGCAAGCCUGAUGCAGCCAUGCCGCGUGUGUGAAGAAGGCCUUAGGGUUGUAAAGCACUUUCAGCGAGGAGGCGUUACUCGCAGAAGAAGCACCGGCUAACUCCGUGCCAGCAGCCGCAGUAAUUC
rnacentral:rRNA from 1 species